UACGAAGGGGGGCUAGCGUUGCUCGGAAUCACUGGGCGUAAAGCGCACGUAGGCGGAUCUUUAAGUCAGAGGUGAAAUCCCAAGGCUCAACCUUGGAACUGCCUUUGAUACUGGGGAUCUCGAGUCCGGAAGAGGUUGGUGGAACUGCGAGUGUAGAGGUGAAAUUCGUAGAUAUUCGGAAGAACACCAGUGGCGAAGGCGGCUCACUGGACCGGCAUUGACGCUGAGGUGCGAAAGCGUGGGGAGCAAACAGG
rnacentral:rRNA from 1 species